GUCCACGCCCUAACGAUGCCAACUAGGUGUUGGGGAAGGAGACUUCCUUAGUACCGUAGCUAACGCGUGAAGUUGGCCGCCUGGGGAGUACGGUCGCAAGAUUAAACUCAAAGGAAUUGACGGGGACCCGCACAAGCGGUGGAUGAUGUGGAUUAAUUCGAUGCAACGCGAAAACCUUACCUACCCUUGACAUGCCAGGAACUUGCCAGAGAUGGCUUGGUGCUCGAAAGAGAACCUGGACACAGGUGCUGCAUGGCUGUCGU
rnacentral:rRNA from 1 species